rnacentral:rRNA from 1 species
CGGGACGGGUGAGUAACGCGUGGGUAACCGUGCCUCAUACAGGGGGAUAACAGUUGGAAACGACUGCUAAUACCGCAUAAGCGCACAGGAUCGCAUGAUCCGGUGCGAAAAACUCCGGUGGUAUGGGAUGGACCCGCGUCUGAUUAGCCAGUUGGCAGGGUAACGGCCUACCAAAGCGACGAUCAGUAGCCGACCUGAGAGGGUGACCGGCCACAUUGGGACUGAGACACGGCCCAA